rnacentral:rRNA from 1 species
UUGAACGCUGGCGGCGUGCUUAACACAUGCAAGUCGAACGCGAAAGGGACUUCGGUCCUGAGUAAAGUGGCGCACGGGUGAGUAACGCGUGGAUAAUCUGCCCUUAUGAUCGGGAUAACAGUUGGAAACGGCUGCUAAUACCGGAUACGCUCAAAAUGAACUUUUUGAGGAAAGAUGGCCUCUGCUUGCAUGCUAUCACGUAAGGAUGAGUCCGCGUCCCAUUAGCUUGUGGCGGGUAACGCCCACCAAGGCAACGAUGGGUAGCCGAUUUGAGAGGAUGAUCGGCCACACUGGAACUGAAACACGGUCCAGACUCCUACGGGAGGCAGCAGUGGGGAAUAUUGCGCAAUGGGCGAAAGCCUGACGCAGCGACGCCGCGUGAGGGAUGAAGGUUUUCGGAUCGUAAACCUCUGUCAGAAGGGAAGAAACUACGUUGUGCUAAUCAGCAGCGUACUGACGGUACCUUCAAAGGAAGCACCGGCUAACUCCGUGCCAGCCGCCGC